rnacentral:lncRNA from 1 species
AGUUAUUGAUCUUUAUCUAUGUAGUGAAUAGAAUUUUUUAUCAAAAAUUCAACAAAUUUCGAUUCUUUUACACCGUUAAACUAGCAAGUAUUCCAUACCGGCCGUUAAAAAUUGUCAAAUUUGUGACCUCUUGAUCGUAAGGUAAAUGAUGUCGAAAAAUUAUAAAAUUUGAUUUCUAGAAGUUUUAAAUGCUGUAAAUAACGUUUAACGGUGUGGAUCGUCGAUUCGGAAGCUCUAUCAUCGAAAACAACUUAUGAGUAUGAGGGCGAUCGUACUGAUAAUAGUAUAGUAGCCGGACCCAUAUAUAUAUAUAUAUAUAUAGAUAUAUAGAGUCCGGCUGCUAUGCUAUCGAUAGCACCAAGUAGUUGGUGCUAUCAAGUUUUCUG